GCUGGUGUAGCUCAAUCGGUAGAGCAGCUGAUUUGUAAUCAGCAGGUUGGUGGGUUCGAGUCCCCUCGCCAGCUCCG
rnacentral:tRNA from 1 species